CCUUCUCCCAUCGAUCCGUCGCCAUCAAUCCACCUCUGAUGUAUCUUUGAUCUUCGGCCACAAUCUUCAAGUCGAACUUCAUCCUCUACCUUCUUCAAACUUUGUACAUUCCAUUUUAAUGGUAAGAAUUGAAAUUAUCUCAUAAAUUAAUUGGCAACGACGGUCUUCUCCCCUCUUUCUUCUUAGGUCGUUCCAUCUCUUAAGAUUAAUAUUCUUUGGUUUAUGUAUAUAAGUAACCAACGAUUGUGUUUUUCUUGAUCUUGAAUUAGUAAUAAGUAGGUCGAUCUCUCCUGUUGUUGUGUCAACAUUUAUAAUCGGUAUUCAUGCAUCUGUUUUGUUCAUCCUCUUAACUUGUUCUACCUUACUUACUCUCUCCCAAGCCGUUCUCUCACGUUCCGCCAUCCCCCGCGAUGGCAACAACUAUGUACCAUUGUUAAAGGAACAAAUUCAUUUGAUUUUCACUUUUAUGGAAGCUCGGUUACGUCCUAGGUGUUGUGACUUCAAGGUAUGGGUUAAAGGUCUUUCUUCAUCCCACUUUCAUAAUUAGUAAGAGUAAUAUGACUCAACAAAGAGGGAAAGCUAGUGUUUCUUACUAAAGCUUUCACCCAUUAAAUUUAUAUUUACAGGAGUUAAGUUCUUCCCUAUCAUCCCAUUUCAUUUUCACAUAUAUCAUAUAAUAUAUCAAUGUUAGGUCCUAUGGUAGCUUUCAUAUCCAAUAAAUACGUCAUAAAUGCAUGUAGUGUUUCUUACUAAAGCUUUCACCCAUUAAAUUUUUAUUUUUUACAUACGUUUGUUUGUUAUUCAUAGAUUAAGUGUUGGAAUGGUAUUCUAAGUGGUUAAGUUCUGUUCGAAUGGGUUGUGAUGCUUAGUUUGUGUUUGUGCUUCAUCAGUAAGAUCGUUUCUUGUGCCUAUUCAGAUUAUUCCUACCUCGUUAAUAUCAGGACCACUCAGAACGUAGCAAUGUUUCUUGGAACAACAAUGAUGGACAAAAAUUAAGAGACAAUUUCAUGACAAUUGUGAUUCACCAUACCAAUAAUGAGAAUUAAGAUUCUUUCAAGAAUGACUUACUAUAAGAUAUUGUAUUCUUACGGAAUGAAGAUUCUUUCAAAAUGGCUUAAUAUAAAACACUAUAUGCUUGUAGAAUGGGACAAAUAUUCCAAGAAUGGCAUUCUAAUUUUAUAAAA